UUGGAGAGUAGUGUAACGGUUAGCACAGCGGCCUUUGACUCCGUUAAUGGUAGGUUCGAUUCCUCCUUCUCCAGCCAA
rnacentral:tRNA from 1 species